GCACCCGUAGCUCAGUUGGAUAGAGCGCUGCCCUCCGAAGGCAGAGGUCGUGAGUUCGAGUCUCGCCGGGUGCGCCA
rnacentral:tRNA from 1 species